rnacentral:rRNA from 1 species
CGCGUAGGCGGUUUGUUAAGUCAGAUGUGAAAGCCCGGGGCUCAACCCCGGAAGUGCAUUUGAUACUGGCGGACUUGAGUAUGGGAGAGGGAAGUGGAAUUCCUGGUGUAGAGGUGAAAUUCGUAGAUAUCAGGAGGAACACCGGUGGCGAAGGCGACUUCCUGGACCAAUACUGACGCUGAGGCGCGAAGGCGUGGGUAGCAAACA